AUACCGCGUUGGUUUGCGCGAGAUUGGCAUGCACCGACUUGCACUGCAAGAACGAAGGCGCCAGCAUUAUCGCUAUUUUUAUCAGCAUAUUUUUCUCGCAUCCGUAAUCGUAUUGGCGGAACUUCCCCGAAAUGAUUUCCUGACUGAAGUGUACUAUCGUCUUGGUCGAUACGCCAGCUGGAUGAUGACUCAAAAUCGCAGGCGCAAGGCUGAUUAUCGCUCGUACCAAUCGAAUAAUAUCCGGAUGUUCCGCUGCCAUAACAUAAGAAGCAGUUCCGCCCAUCGAAUAACCAAUAAAUGACCCAGUCAGCGGAGCUACAUAAUAAACCAUGCUGCAAUAACACAGGUGGCUUCUUGUCACCCAAGAUACGAUGAAGUGUUAGAAGAUAACCAUCUUUUGUCAGUGCAAUAUGGGCCUGCGCAGGAUAACCCGCUUUUCUUAUCAUCUGCAGCUAGAAGAAGUUGACAUCAGGAUUAGCGCCGUUCGGUCGUUCUUUGCUCUCUUGCAUCGUUUUUACGAGCAUGCUUAACAAGUGCUCUUGCGAAACAUUAAAUGUCACGGCUGCGGCAAGGUUGCAGAAGAGAACAAGAAAUGCGAUCAUGAUCAAUCGCAUCGUACGAACCGACAACUGAGAGAUUCGAAUUGAAUCGAAUAUCGUGGAUUUCUCAAAGCGUCAAGAUAUAACAGCGAACAUUCGAAAUGAGAAAUACGACACGCACAACCGAGCUUUCCUUCUCGCGAUGUUCUCCAUGCAGAUUCCAGGGAACUCUGACGAAUCAUUUAUUAAUCGGGAAAAAAGAGAGAGGAGGAAGAGAGAGAUAAACAACAGAAACAAUGUAGAAGUAUUAUUAGUCACCUGUCAGUUAUGAAGAUGCGCGAAUAUAAUGAAAAAUGAUUAAAAA